AACCGAGUCUUAACCGGGCGUUAAGUUGCAGGGUAUAGACCCGAAACCCGGUGAUCUAGCCAUGGGCAGGUUGAAGGUUGGGUAACACUAACUGGAGGACCGAACCGACUAAUGUUGAAAAAUUAGCGGAUGACCUGUGGCUGGGGGUGAAAGGCCAAUCAAACCGGGAGAUAGCUGGUUCUCCCCGAAAGCUAUUUAGGUAGCGCCUCGUGAAUUCAUCUCCGGGGGUAGAGCACUGUUUCGGCUAGGGGGCCAUCCCGGCUUACCAACCCGAUGCAAACUGCGAAUACCGGAGAAUGUUAUCACGGGAGACACACGGCGGGUGCUAACGUCCGUCGUGAAGAGGGAAACAACCCAGACCGCCAGCUAAGGUCCCAAAGUCAUGGUUAAGUGGGAAACGAUGUGGGAAGGCCCAGACAGCCAGGAUGUUGGCUUAGAAGCAGCCAUCAUUUAAAGAAAGCGUAAUAGCUCACUGGUCGAGUCGGCCUGCGCGGAAGAUGUAACGGGGCUAAACCAUGCACCGAAGCUGCGGCAGCGACACUGUGUGUUGUUGGGUAGGGGAGCGUUCUGUAAGCCUGUGAAGGUGUGUCGUGAGGCAUGCUGGAGGUAUCAGAAGUGCGAAUGCUGACAUAAGUAACGAUAAAGCGGGUGAAAAGCCCGCUCGCCGGAAGACCAAGGGUUCCUGUCCAACGUUAAUCGGGGCAGGGUGAGUCGACCCCUAAGGCGAGGCCGAAAGGCGUAGUCGAUGGGAAACGGGUUAAUAUUCCCGUACUUGGUGUUACUGCGAAGGGGGGACGGAGAAGGCUAUGUUGGCCGGGCGACGGUUGUCCCGGUUUAAGCGUGUAGGUGUGUGUUCCAGGUAAAUCCGGUUCACUUUAACACUGAGGCGUGACGACGAGGCACUACGGUGCUGAAGCAACAAAUGCCCUGCUUCCAGGAAAAGCCUCUAAGCAUCAGGUAACAUCAAAUCGUACCCCAAACCGACACAGGUGGUCAGGUAGAGAAUACCAAGGCGCUUGAGAGAACUCGGGUGAAGGAACUAGGCAAAAUGGUGCCGUAACUUCGGGAGAAGGCACGCUGACACGUAGGUGAAGUGAUUUACUCAUGGAGCUGAAGUCAGUCGAAGAUACCAGCUGGCUGCAACUGUUUAUUAAAAACACAGCACUGUGCAAACACGAAAGUGGACGUAUACGGUGUGACGCCUGCCCGGUGCCGGAAGGUUAAUUGAUGGGGUCAGCGCAAGCGAAGCUCCUGAUCGAAGCCCCGGUAAACGGCGGCCGUAACUAUAACGGUCCUAAGGUAGCGAAAUUCCUUGUCGGGUAAGUUCCGACCUGCACGAAUGGCGUAAUGAUGGCCAGGCUGUCUCCACCCGAGACUCAGUGAAAUUGAACUCGCUGUGAAGAUGCAGUGUACCCGCGGCAAGACGGAAAGACCCCGUGAACCUUUACUAUAGCUUGACACUGAACAUUGAGCCUUGAUGUGUAGGAUAGGUGGGAGGCUUUGAAGUGUGGACGCCAGUCUGCAUGGAGCCGACCUUGAAAUACCACCCUUUAAUGUUUGAUGUUCUAACGUGGACCCGUUACCCGGGUUGCGGACAGUGUCUGGUGGGUAGUUUGACUGGGGCGGUCUCCUCCUAAAGAGUAACGGAGGAGCACGAAGGUUGGCUAAUCCUGGUCGGACAUCAGGAGGUUAGUGCAAUGGCAUAAGCCAGCUUGACUGCGAGCGUGACGGCGCGAGCAGGUGCGAAAGCAGGUCAUAGUGAUCCGGUGGUUCUGAAUGGAAGGGCCAUCGCUCAACGGAUAAAAGGUACUCCGGGGAUAACAGGCUGAUACCGCCCAAGAGUUCAUAUCGACGGCGGUGUUUGGCACCUCGAUGUCGGCUCAUCACAUCCUGGGGCUGAAGUAGGUCCCAAGGGUAUGGCUGUUCGCCAUUUAAAGUGGUACGCGAGCUGGGUUUAGAACGUCGUGAGACAGUUCGGUCCCUAUCUGCCGUGGGCGCUGGAGAACUGAGGGGGGCUGCUCCUAGUACGAGAGGACCGGAGUGGACGCAUCACUGGUGUUCGGGUUGUCAUGCCAAUGGCACUGCCCGGUAGCUAAAUGCGGAAGAGAUAAGUGCUGAAAGCAUCUAAGCACGAAACUUGCCCCGA
rnacentral:rRNA from 2 species